CUACGGGCGGCUGCAGUGGGGAAUAUUGGGCAAUGGGCGCAAGCCUGACCCAGCAACGCCGCGUGAGGGAAGAAUGUCUUCGGAUUGUAAACCUCUGUCCUUGGGGACGAAAAAAAUGACGGUACCCAAGGAGGAAGCUCCGGCUAACUACGUGCCAGCAGCCGCGGUAAUACGUAGGGAGCAAGCGUUGUCCGGAAUUAUUGGGCGUAAAGGGUGCGUAGGCGGCGCUGUAAGUCAGAUGUGAAAUCCCCGGGCUUAACUCGGGAGUUGCAUUUGAAACUACAGUGCUUGAGUAAAGAAGGGGUAAGUGGAAUUCCUAGUGUAGCGGUGGAAUGCGUAGAUAUUAGGAGGAACACCAGUGGCGAAGGCGACUUACUGGUCUUUUACUGACGCUGAGGCACGAAAGCGUGGGGAGCAAACAGGAUUAGAUACCCCAGUAGUC
rnacentral:rRNA from 1 species